CGCGAUACGAAUAUACGAUCGCAAGAAGCCAAAGCAGCAGACAAGUCCUUCCUUCUCUCUCAGGCCCGAGACCGAGCAAGAGCAAAGAAUUAGGAGGAGAGGAGGUUAGGAAGCGGCAAGAGAAGCCAUGGCCGCGACGCUCGCCUUUUCCUUCUUCUCCUCCUCCUCCUCCUCCUCUUCUUCUUCUUCUUCUCCUUCUUCGGUUGCCAAUCUCAAUCCCAGAAAUCCCGGAAGAAGACGCUCUCCUUUUCCCAUCAAUCCCCUCUCUCUCCACUCUUUCGCGCCGUUUCUACUUCUUCCCGUGGAACGGUUUCAAGGUAUGGUUUCUUUAUCUCUCCCUUGGAGUAGUGGCUACUUUCUUGGUCGAGAAAUUGUGCAGUCUUUUGCUUCGAAUUAUGAAUUAUUGAAACGAAAUUUUUGUUAGCAUAUGAAUUCCAGUACUCAGUUUGUUUCCGUCAUUUCUAUUUUUGUGGAAUUUUGAUGCUUCGGUGAAGUGAGGCCUUGAGAGAUUAGCUGCUAGUGAUGGGACUCGUCUGUGUUCGUUCUUUGUAGGAAACUAUAUAAGAUAAAGGACCACCACAUUGCAAGAGGAGGAGGAAAAGGUGACCAUGGAAGGCUCUUUUAAUGUGGAGACUUUUCCCGAUAACGAGGGGAAGGCAACCGAUUGUGAUCCGACGACUAGUGCGCCUGGUUCCGUGGAGAGCUCGGUCAUUAAGUUUGAGCAGUCCGUAAAUAUUUUUCUCACUGCAUGUUCACUUUUUUAUUUGGAUUUUAUAAACUUUUUAUCUGCUUUCUGGAUAAAUGAUUCCUAGGAAAUGUUUCUUAGCCUGUGGUCAUGUUUUUUUUUUUUUUGAUGUUUGUAGGCGCCAGACUAUUUCUAUCAUCAUCUUAUGAGAAUAUAUGUGUGUUAGAAUCAUAAAGUUUGUGUCCUUUGUAGUAGUAUCUAUAUGACUUGAUGCCAAAAUGAGGUAUUAUGAGUCAUGACCAAUUGUCCACUCUCUUCGUGUUUCAUGACUUCAGUGCACAGGAAUGUUAUUAUAACCAGAACUUUUUGAAGGUUUUGAAGUCAUUUAACAUGAGAUUGAAUUGUCAGUUACAAAUCUCUGCUGUUAGGUUAAAUCAUUGCAAUUUGCAAUGCUUUCGGUUUUAUUAUAUCGUUGCUGGUGGCUUUCCUCAAAUCGUCACUGGACUUGUUCAAUUCCAACUGUACAUUACGAAGUUGAUCUGGAAACUCAAAGUUCUUGAAUCUAAUGAUACUUCUGCAAAAUCUAAUUUGUAUUUUAUGUAUGUUAAAGGCAAAAAUCCUGAAUCUAACAUAAUUGGAGAGUAUUUGAUGGUUUCAGAAUAGGCAUUCUCGAGUGUAGUUCCGAUUUGUACCAUAUGCAUGAUCAGCUCAACGCCACAUGAGAAUGUCUAUUAUCUUUGUUGGUUCUCGAGUUCUGCCCAAUUGUCUGGGCAUCAAGGAUUGAAGUAUUAUCACAUGCAGGCCUUCCAUUGGCACAGUAGGUACUGUUCCACUUGUUGUGCUGUUCCAUGCCAAUGCUUGGGGCACACUCAACAUGCUGUAUUAGCAUACAGUUGGUAUUGUGCCAGCACUUUAUGCACAAGGGAUUGGCACAUUAUGUAUCAUGCCAUGCCAGUUGGCAUUUAAAUCCAUGCUAGGCGUUGCUUCUAUACUUCAAUUCUGAUUCAUAAAUAUUUCUCGAUUGAUUCUAUCAUCCAUUGGAUGGCAUAGCAAUAGUAGCCACUUCAUUUCAUGUUAGAAUUGCUUUGCUAAUCACUUUACAUGAAAUCAUGAAGCGAGCUAUAAUUGCAAACUGUUGGUGUACCAAAACUUCGAAAUGGAAAUAGGUAAAUGUGACUGUAAUAAGCAAUGAUGAUUCAUCAGUACAGAAAGCGUUGUAAUAGAAAUGGUUUACAUUUAGAUCAUAUUGAACUAGAUGAUGGCUUCAGUUCAGUGUCUUUAUACUGAAGAAAUUCUUAUGUCGGCAAGCCUGCUUUGAGCAUAUAGAAGUUGCAGACUUCCCUGGUUAUGUGUAUUUUGAAGAGAAAAAAGGAGGGGAACUGCACACCCACCCCUCCUUUAUUGGUACAUGCGGCUGUCUAGAUAGUUUUAUUAACACAUUCCUGUAAUCCUGUUACAGCAGAAACAUUAUAAGUACUGUUCAGAUAAUUUAUUUUUCUUUACAAGGUGGUAUUCGUUUCUCGCUAGCAUGAAAACAGAAUCCAUGGCAUCAGAUUCAUUACCAAGGAGUUGGUAAUCAAGAUACUUGAUGCAUUUUACCACGAUUGCCAUUAUGCAAGAUUUUUCGUGUUGGAAACCAUAGCUAGGGUACCAUAUUUUGCUUUUAUAUCUGUUCUGCACAUGUAUGAGAGCUUUGGUUGGUGGAGAAGAGCCGAUUAUUUGAAAGUGCAUUUUGCUGAAAGCUGGAAUGAGAUGCAUCAUCUACUUAUUAUGGAGGUACUACUUUAUCCGUAAACUACUGAAUUUAGAUCCGACAAACUGUGGACGGACCUUGGCCUGUUUUCGUGAAACUAAUGCACUGUUUGCUAUGAAGUGUUUAUUCUUCAUAAGAACAAGUCUUAUACCACUUGAUAUUAGCCAUAUGGAUGCUACUUCACCUUUGGGUUCUAGCAGAUGCCAGUUCUUCAAAUUAAAAACUGUCUUAAUCAUUUGUCAUGAUACGAGCCAUAUGGAUGCUACUUUGCCUUUGGGUUCUAAUUUAUGCCAGUUCCUCAAAUUGUAAAUAGUCUUUAAGUGUUUGUUGAUGAUUUCUGCA